rnacentral:rRNA from 1 species
CAUACCUAUUCGAAGGGAUAGGGUCGGUUCGGCCGGAUUUUACACAAGUGUUGCAUGGCUGUCGUCAGCUCGUGUCGUGAGAUGUUGGGUUAAGUCCCGCAACGAGCGCAACCCUCAUCCUUAGUUGCUAUCAGGUAAUGCUGAGUACUUUAAGGAAACUGCCAGUGAUAAGCUGGAGGAAGGUGGGGAUGAUGUCAAGUCAUCAUGGCCUUUAUGGAGUGGGCUACACACGUGCUACAAUGGUGUCUACAAUGGGCUGCAAGGUGCGCAAGCCUAAGCUAAUCCCUAAAAGACAUCUCAGUUCGGAUUGUACUCUGCGACUCGAGUACAUGAAGUUGGAAUCGCUAGUAAUCGUGGAUCAGCAUGCCACGGUGAAUACGUUGUCGGGUCUUGUACACACUGCCCGUCACGCCAUGGAAUUGGUUUCACUCGAAGCU